rfam:Haemonchus placei strain MHpl1 genome assembly, scaffold: HPLM_scaffold0001605
GGCUCAAAUUUGAAGUAGAAUAGAUAAGAAGGAUCAUCUGACCCUGCUUAACUAAUCUACUUAGAGCUUGUGCCC